UCCGCGAAACUAAACUAGUUUCCUGCCAGCCUUUCCCUGCUGCUCCCAGAAUACUGUCCCCUGUUCCUCUCCGUUCGAACGCCCGGUAAUUACCUGCACGGAUUGGGUUUCUCCCGUGUCCUGAAACAUUUUAUUUCCUUUUAGCAUGUCGUCCUCGCUUGGCAUUAACUUUCGACAACAGCCAGCAGAGUGUGCUGUGAACGCUGUGUAAAGAAUAUCCUGCUUCUGGGAAAUUUUUAUAUAUUUACAUAUAUGUACAGAAAUGCAGAUGAAGACAUUUUAAGUGGUUCUAAUACUUGCACGAGUGGUAUGUAGUUCCUCCCAUCAAUUAAAAUACUUCUCUUGUCGCAGAUCACACAACCUCUUCCUUAAAAAUUAAUAGCCAAGUCAUACUAAACCGUCUGCUUUCAGCAAGAUUGCUUUCCAGUGUUUGUAUAAAGUUGGAAAAGUGCCACAAUGGAGAUGUCCAAAUACCUUUCACAGUCAGAGAGAAGGAUCUAGAACACAAGGAUCAGUGUGACUGGGCAAUCAAAGGAGAAUAUUCUCCCCAGCUCUGCUUCUGAUCAGAAUGAAUCAAAUACAGCGCUCCUAAUUUUCAUGGUCAUGAGAAGGGAGAGAAGCCAAGCAAAGGUGCAGGAUGUUGUGCUGAAACAUGUUCUAAUCUCAACCCCAUGAGACAAAAACCAGAA